rnacentral:lncRNA from 1 species
AGUGCCUUCGGGGGCUCCACCACCGCGCGCUCCCACCCUCAAGGUCUGCAGGACACACCAAAGAACUCCUCCAAGUCACACAAGGGAGAAAAUUAACUUCAUUGGCUUCUAUCAGGAAAGCUAUUUUUUUUUUCCUCUUCUUUCCUGCAAGUUUCCCAAACCCCAUGACUCUGAUUUCCAGGUCAGAGACUAAGGUUUUAUUUUUCUUACUCUGUAUACUUUAUAUGUGGAGAGUCCCUGAAGGAACACUGUGAUGGGCUGAUUACUGUGAGCCAGUUGUGGGCCAGACCUGGCCUCAGGUGCUGCAAAGGGAAUUCAGUCACCCCUGUGCAGUGAUCUGUGAGCCCCAAGUCAGAUCCAACUUUUUCCUGAUAGACAGCACCCUCCUCCUCCCUACCAAGAAAUAGCAGGGUUGGAGGUAGUGACCCAAUAUUCAAGAGGUUUGAAAUUCUACAUGAGAUAUUUCUGAGUUAACUCCUAAAUAGCAGUUUCCUUAAUCAUGUGGAAAAUAAGAACACUUACUAAAGAGACCAUUGGUUUAAGAGAAAUGGAAACUUAUGUCCACGUAAAAACCUGUAAAUGAAUGUUCACAGCAGCCUUUUCAUAAUAGCCAAAAAGGGAAAGCAAUCCACACGUCCAUCAACCAAUGAAUGGAUAAACUUAACGUGGGAUAUACGUGUAAUGGAAUGCUAUUUGGUGAAGAAAGAAAUGAAAUAUUAAUACAUGCGUUAACAAGGAUGGACCUUAAAAUAUCAUGCUAAGUAAGAGAAGCCUGUCACAAAAGAAUAUGUAUUGUACCA